GACGAACGCUGGCGGCGUGCUUAACACAUGCAAGUCGAACGAUGAAGCUGGAGCUUGCUCCGGUGGAUUAGUGGCGAACGGGUGAGUAACGCGUGAGUAAUCUGCCCUUGACUCUGGAAUAACUGCGGGAAACUGUAGCUAAUACCGGAUACGACACCUUCGGGCAUCCGAUGGGUGUGGAAAGAAUUUCGGUCAAGGAUGAACUCGCGGCCUAUCAGCUAGUUGGUGAGGUAAUGGCUCACCAAGGCGACGACGGGUAGCCGGCCUGAGAGGGUGACCGGCCACACUGGGACUGAGACACGGCCCAGACUCCUACGGGAGGCAGCAGUGGGGAAUAUUGCACAAUGGGCGAAAGCCUGAUGCAGCAACGCCGCGUGAGGGAUGAAGGCCUUCGGGUUGUAAACCUCUUUUAGUUGGGAAGAAGCGAAAGUGACGGUACCAACAGAAAAAGCACCGGCUAACUACGUGCCAGCAGCCGCCGUAA
rnacentral:rRNA from 1 species